AUAUCAAUAAGCGGAGGAAAAGAAACCAACAGGGAUUGCCUCAGUAACGGCGAGUGAAGCGGCAAGAGCUCAAAUUUGAAAUCUGGAGCCUUCGGCUUCCGAGUUGUAAUUUGAAGAGGGUGUUUCGGUUGCGGCCCUGGCCUAAGUUCCUUGGAACAGGACGUCAUGGAGGGUGAGAAUCCCGUACAUGGCUGAGGGCUUGCUUCUAUGUGAAACCCCUUCGAAGAGUCGAGUUGUUUGGGAAUGCAGCUCAAAAUGGGUGGUAAAUUUCAUCUAAAGCUAAAUAUUGGCGGGAGACCGAUAGCGCACAAGUAGAGUGAUCGAAAGAUGAAAAGCACUUUGAAAAGAGAGUUAAACAGUACGUGAAAUUGUUGAAAGGGAAGCGCUUGCAAUCAGACUCGCUUUCGGUUGAUCAACGUUCCUUUUGGUUCGUGCACUCUGCCGUUUGCGGGCCAGCAUCAGUUGGGGCGGUGGGACAAAGGCGGUGGGAAUGUGGCUCCCCUCGGGGAGUGUUAUAGCCCGUCGUGCCAUGCCACCAGUCCCGACUGAGGUCCGCGGUUCGCCUAGGAUGCUGGCUUAAUGGUUGUAAGCGA
rnacentral:rRNA from 1 species